rnacentral:rRNA from 2 species
UAGAGCUUGAUCAUGGCUCAGAUUGAACGCUGGCGGCAGGCCUAACACAUGCAAGUCGAGCGGAUGAAGAGAGCUUGCUCUCUGAUUCAGCGGCGGACGGGUGAGUAAUGCCUAGGAAUCUGCCUGGUAGUGGGGGACAACGUCUCGAAAGGGACGCUAAUACCGCAUACGUCCUACGGGAGAAAGCAGGGGACCUUCGGGCCUUGCGCUAUCAGAUGAGCCUAGGUCGGAUUAGCUAGUUGGUGAGGUAAUGGCUCACCAAGGCGACGAUCCGUAACUGGUCUGAGAGGAUGAUCAGUCACACUGGAACUGAGACACGGUCCAGACUCCUACGGGAGGCAGCAGUGGGGAAUAUUGGACAAUGGGCGAAAGCCUGAUCCAGCCAUGCCGCGUGUGUGAAGAAGGUCUUCGGAUUGUAAAGCACUUUAAGUUGGGAGGAAGGGCAGUAAGCGAAUACCUUGCUGUUUUGACGUACCGACAG